AGUGAACGCUGGCGGUAGGCCUAACACAUGCAAGUCGAACGGCAGCACAGUAAGAGCUUGCUCUUACGGGUGGCGAGUGGCGGACGGGUGAGGAAUACAUCGGAAUCUACUUUUUCGUGGGGGAUAACGUAGGGAAACUUACGCUAAUACCGCAUACGACCUACGGGUGAAAGCAGGGGAUCUUCGGACCUUGCGCGAUUGAAUGAGCCGAUGUCGGAUUAGCUAGUUGGCGGGGUAAAGGCCCACCAAGGCGACGAUCCGUAGCUGGUCUGAGAGGAUGAUCAGCCACACUGGAACUGAGACACGGUCCAGACUCCUACGGGAGGCAGCAGUGGGGAAUAUUGGACAAUGGGCGCAAGCCUGAUCCAGCCAUACCGCGUGGGUGAAGAAGGUCUUCGGGUUGUAAAGCCCUUUUGUUGGGAAAGGAAAGCAGCAGGUUAAUACCCCGCUGUUCUGACGGUACCCAAAGAAUAAGCACCGGCGAACUUCGU
rnacentral:rRNA from 1 species